ACUAAUUAAGCUCUAUUCAAACAUGGCAUUUCACGUGAGCACAAAAGUUCAGACUCAUCACUGGCCUUAUUCAUUCAAUACAAAAGCUCACAAACCAAAGGUACAAAUGAAGCAAAUAUUGGAGAGGAUAUUAAUUAGUUCUCAUCAUCUUCAAACUCGGCGUCGGGCUUGUCGGCAGCAUGGGAGCAGCAACUGUAGCAAUCAUUUGAAUAGCGGUAGGUGCGGCAGCAUCCGUGCCGGCAAUAUCCUCUUCGUGGUGGGUACCCUUCAAAUCCACCGCGACUCCAUAAUUUCCGUUUGGUUACCCAUAUCCGCAGCCCCCAUACUUUGCCUCCUCGACGCCGUUGAGAUUCACAUUUUCCUCUGCAAUAGAAUAUAAUAGUAAUAAAUGGAUUAGUGAAAACAUAAAAGAGUAAUGAUAUAACCACAAACUCUUGUACAAACUUAUUUUGUACAAACUGAUGUGGCAUGAU
rnacentral:lncRNA from 1 species